rnacentral:rRNA from 1 species
AGCGAACGCUGGCGGCAGGCCUAACACAUGCAAGUCGAACGGAUCCUUCGGGAUUAGUGGCGGACGGGUGAGUAACACGUGGGAACGUGCCCUUUGGUUCGGAACAACUCAGGGAAACUUGAGCUAAUACCGGAUGUGCCCUUCGGGGGAAAGAUUUAUCGCCAUUGGAGCGGCCCGCGUCUGAUUAGCUAGUUGGUGAGGUAAAGGCUCACCAAGGCGACGAUCAGUAGCUGGUCUGAGAGGAUGAUCAGCCACAUUGGGACUGAGACACGGCGCAAACUCCUACGGGAGGCAGCGGUGGAGAAUCUUGCGCGAUGGGCGAAAGCCUGACGCAGGCAUGCCGCGUGAAUGAUGAAGGUCUUAGGAUUGUAAAAUUCUUUCACCGGGGACGAUAAUGACGGUACCCGGAGAAGAAGCCCCGGCUAACUUCGUGCCAGCCGCCGCGGUAACAC